rnacentral:rRNA from 1 species
AACGAACGCUGGCGGCAUGCCUAACACAUGCAAGUCGAACGAGACCUUCGGGUCUAGUGGCGCACGGGUGCGUAACGCGUGGGAACCUGCCCUUAGGUUCGGAAUAACUCCCCGAAAGGGGUGCUAAUACCGGAUAAUGUCUUCAGACCAAAGAUUUAUCGCCUUUGGAUGGGCCCGCGUUGGAUUAGCUAGUUGGUAGGGUAAAAGCCUACCAAGGCGACGAUCCAUAGCUGGUCUGAGAGGAUGAUCAGCCACACUGGGACUGAGACACGGCCCAGACUCCUACGGGAGGCAGCAGUGGGGAAUAUUGGACAAUGGGCGAAAGCCUGUUCCAGCAAUGCCGCGUGAGUGAUGAAGGCCUUAGGGUUGUAAAGCUCUUUUACCCGGGAUGAUAAUGACAGUACCGGGAGAAUAAGCUCCGGCUAACUCCGUG